UUCCGGUUGAUCCCGCCGGACCCGACUGCUAUUUGGGUGAGGAUUAGCCAUGCGAGUUGAAUGGGAAGCCUAAAGAUCCCAUGGCAAACUGCUCAGUAACACAUGAUCAACUUACCCUAUAGAGAAAAAUAACCUCGGGAAACUGAGGAUAAUGUUUCAUAGUUGAAUUGGCUUGGAAAAGUUUUUCGACGAAAGGGGUAAAAAAAAUGGUUUUUAUCUGCUAUAGGAUAGGAUCGUGUUCGAUUAUGGUUGUUGGUGAGGUAAUGGCCCACCAAGCCGAUAAUCGAUAGGGGCCGUGAGAGCGGGAGCCCCGAGAUGGGUACUGAGACAACGACCCAGGCCUUACGAGGCGCAGCAGGCGCGAAACCUCCGCAAUACACGAAAGUGUGACGGGGUUACCCAAAGUGUUCAAUUUUGAACUGUGGUAGGUGAGUAAUGUUCCCUACUAGAAAGGAGAGGGCAAGGCUGGUGCCAGCCGCCGCGGUAAAACCAGCUCUUCAAGUGGUCGGGAUAAUUAUUGGGCUUAAAGUGUCCGUAGCCGGUUUAGUAAGUUCCUGGUAAAAUCGGGUAGCUUAACUAUCUAUAUGCUAGGAAUACUACUAUACUAGAGGGCGGGAGAGGUCUGAGGUACUACAGGGGUAGGGGUGAAAUCUUAUAAUCCUUGUUGGACCACCAGUGGCGAAGGCGUCAGACUGGAACGCGCCUGACGGUGAGGGACGAAAGCCAGGGGAGCGAACCGGAUUAGAUACCCGGGUAGUCCUGGCCGUAACGAUGCAUACUAGUGAUGGCACGGGCCAUGAGCCGUGUCAGUGCCGUAGGGAAACCGUUAAGUGUGCCGCCUGGAAGUACGGUCGCAAGGCUAAACUUAAGGGAAUUGGCGGGGGAGCACACAA
rnacentral:rRNA from 1 species